rnacentral:lncRNA from 1 species
GUAGUGGGCCGCCCAUGGUCAGGGGAAUUUAUUGCGAAGGGUAGUGGGGUAGACUCGUGGCUAUUGUCAUAGCCUGCCACGUAGGGCCUGUUGCAGGUAGUGGAGCGGCGUCCGUUGCUGCUAGUUGUCAGCGAGUAGUGGAAUCGUGCAGCACCUGCCGCAGGGAGCGGAGCAGAAUCGUGGCCGUUGACACAGCCUGUCAGAGAGUAAUGGGCCCGCCGCAGGG